GAUCAACGCUGGCGGCGUGCCUAAUGCAUGCAAGUCGCACGGAGGCUUCGGUCUCAGUGGCAGACGGGUGAGGAACACGUGGGUCACCGACCCUGGUGUGGGGAAUACCCCGCCGAAAGGUGGGCUAAUACCGCAUACGCUUCCUGGGUGGAUGGGCCGAGGAAGGAAAGUCGCCGGGCAACCGCCGGGCGGCGCACGAGGACGGGUCCGCGGCCGAUUAGCUGGUUGGUGGGGUAAUGGCCUACCAAGGCGACGAUCGGUAGCUGGUCUGAGAGGA
rnacentral:rRNA from 1 species